AAUAUUGCACAAUGGGCGCAAGCCUGAUGCAGCCAUGCCGCGUGUGUGAAGAAGGCCUUCGGGUUGUAAAGUACUUUCAGCAGUGAGGAAGGUGGUGCAGUUAAUAGCUGUAUCAUUUGACGUUAGCUGCAGAAGAAGCACCGGCUAACUCCGUGCCAGCAGCCGCGGUAAUACGGAGGGUGCGAGCGUUAAUCGGAAUUACUGGGCGUAAAGCGCAUGCAGGUGGUUUGUUAAGUCAGAUGUGAAAGCCCCGGGGCUCAACCUCGGAAUUGCAUUUGAAACUGGCAGGCUAGAGUCUUGUAGAGGGGGUAGAAUUUCAGGUGUAGCGGUGAAAUGCGUAGAGAUCUGAAGGAAUACCAGUGGCGAAGGCGGCCCCCUGGACAAAGACUGACGCUCAGAUGCGAAAGCGUGGGGAGCAAACCAGGAUUUGAUACCCUGGUAG
rnacentral:rRNA from 1 species